UACCCGUGGCGGGAAAACAAAAACUCCUUAGGUAGAAGCACGGAGAUGGCUGCAGCUGCUUCUUGGGUCUGGAGACUGGAGUGUGUUUGGGGAAGAAGCUUGGGAGGUGGCCUGGACUCGGGAGUUCUGAAUCUGGGAGAAAAGGAAGUCAGUAGACAGGGUUCCGUGCCUGCCUGUGGUGCACCCCCGUUCCCUAAAGGUUCCUGGUUAACAAAGCUACGGAAAAGGGAGCCUCCUUCAGGUAUUCCCCUGCCUCAGCCUGCCCUCUAGUGGAAGACCGCGGACUUACAGGAGCGCGGGCUUCCCCACUUGCCUUUUUCAAAACAAUGACCCUUCCCCACCUCACUUCAACUCCUGAACAAGGAUGCCAAGCCCCUGGGAAAGCCAAAUGGAAGGCAGUAUGACCAAAAGGAGAGAUUAUGUCAUCAUUUGGGAAUAAAAGCAUCAAAUGCCGCCGCAGCUCCCUGAACAACACUCGCCUGGGCUCCUACUCAGUCACCAGGAAUCUGGUCUAGGCUGUUGUGUUCCAGCCUUCCCAAGGUUCCAGGUGUCCCAGAAACCCAGAAAAUCGAUGCUCCAGACUCCCAGAGAGGAUGGCAUCCAGAGGAGACCUCAGGCCCCUGCCCCAUAUCUGAAGAAGGCUGAUUGCGUCCACUCCAAGCCACCCUGGCUGCUCUGUGCUGCUGUGUUCUGCACGAGGCAUUGGUUCGGUGCACGUGGUCCUGUGCUGGGCUCUGGAAGUUGCAACAAGGAGGAAGAUGAACAGUCCUUGCCCUGGAGGGGCUGCAGUCCAGCCAAGAACGCAAAGCGCCAAGAGGAGGUUGGUGUGAAGAAAGAGGGCAGGCACUUGGCUUCAAGGAGGUGGCCGGACUUCCCCUGGGACCUUGAGGAGUAUGUUGAGAAGAACAGGGAGCAGGUGGCUCAGACUGAGGGCCUUGGCGGUGCUGAAGGUAAAUUUAGAAGGAGCGCUGGCUUGGGUUGGCGUGGGACAUGCACACGCAGAGGAACAGCGGGUUUGGAGAGUGGACAGGCUGCGUGGUGGCCCAGCACGGGAGGUGAUUGUGACACCGGGCUGAAGGAGCUCACGGGAACCGAGCGGGAGCUGAAUGCUCUCAGUGGGGAGGACCCGGGUCAGAGAGGAGUCUUUGGGUCAGAAAACCACCAUUUCCUGACUGCCGACUGUGGGCCACAUAUCAUCCUAUGUACUUGACAUGUGCUCUGGUGUUUAAUCCUAGCCCUACAGGUCAGUGUUUUUAAUCCCGCAUUUCACAGAUGACAAAACUGAGUUAAAAUUAUUUGCCCAAACCAGCUGGUAACAAGCCAAAGAGUUUGGAAAGGACUCAGACCCAAUCCACACA